UACGGAGGGUGCUAGCGUUGUUCGGAAUCACUGGGCGUAAAGCGCGUGUAGGCGGUCCGUUAAGUCUGAUGUGAAAGCCCGGGGCUCACCCCCGGAAGUGCAUUGGAAACUGACGAACUCGAGUCCCGGAGAGGAGGGUGGAAUUCCGUGGUGUAGCGGUGAAAUGCGUAGAUAUCAGGAGGAACACCGGUGGCGAAGGCGGCCCUCUGGACGGUGACUGACGCUGAGACGCGAAAGCGUGGGGAGCAAACAGG
rnacentral:rRNA from 1 species